UACAGAGGGUGCGAGCGUUAAUCGGAAUUACUGGGCGUAAAGCGUGCGUAGACGGUUAUUUAAGUCGGGUGUGAAAGCCCCGGGCUCAACCUGGGAAUUGCAUUCGAGACUGAAUAGCUAGGGUACGGUAGAGGGAAGCGGAAUUUCCGGUGUAGCGGUGAAAUGCGUAGAUAUCGGAAGGAACAUCAGUGGCGAAGGCGAGUCUCUGGACAUUUCCUGACGCUGAGGCACGAAAGCCAGGGGAGCAAACGGG
rnacentral:rRNA from 1 species